CAGGCGCGUGCUACCUGCAAGUCGAACGUGAUCCGCCCUUCGGGGUGGUGAAAGUGGCGCACGGGUGAGUAACGCGUGGAUAAUCUGCCCGAGGAUUUGGGAUAACAUCUCGAAAGGGGUGCUAAUACCGAAUAAGCCCACGGGGUCUACGGAUCUUGCGGGAAAAGGGGGGGACCUUCGGGCCUCCUGUCCUUGGAUGAGUCUGCGUACCAUUAGCUAGUUGGUGGGGUAAUGGCCUACCAAGGCGACGAUGGUUAGCUGGUCUGAGAGGAUGAUCAGCCACACUGGAACUGAGACACGGUCCAGACUCCUACGGGAGGCAGCAGUGGGGAAUUUUGCGCAAUGGGGGAAACCCUGACGCAGCAACGCCGCGUGGGUGAUGAAGGCCUUCGGGUCGUAAAGCUCUGUCUGGAGGGAAGAAAUGAUUGGGAGCUAAUACCUCUUGAUCUUGACGGUACCUCUGAAGGAAGCACCGGCUAACUCCGUGCCAGCAGCCGCGGUAAUACGGAGGGUGCAAGCGUUGUUCGGAAUUAUUGGGCGUAAAGCGCGUGUAGGCGGUCUUUUAAGUCUGAUGUGAAAGCCCCGGGCUCAACCUGGGAAGUGCAUUGGAAACUGGGAGGCUUGAGUACGGGAGAGGAGAGUGGAAUUCCUAGUGUAGGAGUGAAAUCCGUAGAUAUUAGGAGGAACACCGGUGGCGAAGGCGGCUCUCUGGACCGAUACUGACGCUGAGACGCGAAAGCGUGGGUAGCAAACAGGAUUAGAUACCCUGCUAGUCCACGCCGUAAACGAUGAGUACUAGUGUUGCGGGUAUUGACCCCUG
rnacentral:rRNA from 1 species